rnacentral:misc_RNA from 1 species
GAUGAAGAACGUAGCGAAAUGCGAUAAGUAGUGUGAAUUGCAGAAUUACCUGAAUCAUCGAAUCUUUGAACGCACAUUGCGCCCGCCAGUAUUCUGGCGGGCAUGCCUGUCUGAGCGUCAUUUCAACCCUCAUGCCCCUAGGGCGUGGUGUUGGGGAUCGGCCAAAGCCCGCGAGGGACGGCCGGCCCCUAAAUCUAGUGGCGGACCCGUCGUGGCCUCCUCUGCGAAGUAGUGAUAUUCCGCAUCGGAGAGCGACGAGCCCCUGCCGUUAAACCCCCAACUUUCCAAGGUUGACCUCAGAUCAGGUAGGAAUACCCGCUGAACUUAAGCAUAUCAAUAAGCGGAGGA